GAUGAACGCUAGCUACAGGCUUAACACAUGCAAGUCGAGGGGUAACGAGAGGGAAGCUUGCUUUCCUUGUCGACGACCGGCGCACGGGUGAGUAACGCGUAUCCAACCUGCCCCCAACUAGGGAAUAACCUUGCGAAAGUAAGACUAAUACCCUAUAAUUUCCUCAGAUGUCAUCUGACGAGGAAUAAAGAUUUAUCGGUUGUGGAUGGGGAUGCGUCUGAUUAGCUUGUUGGCGGGGUAACGGCCCACCAAGGCAACGAUCAGUAGGGGUUCUGAGGGGAAGGUCCCCCACAUUGGAACUGAGACACGGUCCAAACUCCUACGGGAGGCAGCAGUGAGGAAUAUUGGUCAAUGGGCGGAAGCCUGAACCAGCCAAGUAGCGUGCAGGAUGACGGCCCUAUGGGUUGUAAACUGCUUUUAUACAGGAAUAAAGUUAGCCACGUGUGGUUAUUUGUAGGUACUGUAUGAAUAAGGACCGGCUAAUUCCGCGCCAGCCGCCGCCGUAA
rnacentral:rRNA from 1 species